AGUGAAGCGGGAAAAGCUCAAAUUUAAAAUCUGGCGGCUUUGGUCGUCCGAGUUGUAUUCUAGAGAAGUGUUUUCCGCGUUGGACCGUGUAUAAGUCUCUUGGAACAGAGCGUCAUAGAGGGUGAGAAUCCCGUCUUUGACACGGACUACCAAUGCUUUGUGAUGCGCUCUCAAAGAGUCGAGUUGUUUGGGAAUGCAGCUCAAAAUGGGUGGUAAAUUCCAUCUAAAGCUAAAUAUUGGCGAGAGACCGAUAGCGAACAAGUACCGUGAGGGAAAGAUGAAAAGCACUUUGGAAAGAGAGUUAAACAGUACGUGAAAUUGCUGAAAGGGAAACGCUUGAAGUCAGUCGCGUUAUCUAGAACUCAACCAGGCUUGCUUGGCGUAUUUUCUAGUUAACGGGCCAGCAUCAGUUUUGACCGCAGGAAAAAGGCCAGGGAAAUGUGGCACCUUCGGGUGUGUUAUAGUCUCUGGUCAUAUACUGUGAUUGGGACUGAGGACCGCAGCACGCGCAAGUUGUGCUUAGGAUGCUGGCGUAAUGGCUUUAAACGACCCGUCUUGAAACACGGACCAAGGAGUCUAACAAACCUGCGAGUAUUUGGGUGGUAAACCCGAGUGCGUAAUGAAAGUGAAAGUUGGGAUCCCUGUCGCGGGGAGCACCGACGCCCGGACCAGACCUUCUGUGACGGAUCUGCGGUAGAGCAUGUUUGUUGGGACCCGAAAGAUGGUGAACUAUGCCUGAAUAGGGUGAAGCCAGAGGAAACUCUGGUGGAGGCUCGUAGCGAUUCUGACGUGCAAAUCGAUCGUCAAAUUUGGGUAUAGGGGCGAAAGA
rnacentral:rRNA from 1 species